rnacentral:rRNA from 1 species
GACAGAGGAUGCAAGCGUUAUCCGGAAUGAUUGGGCGUAAAGCGUCUGUAGGUGGCUUUUCAAGUCCGCCGUCAAAUCCCAGGGCUCAACCCUGGACAGGCGGUGGAAACUGCCAAGCUGGAGUACGGUAGGGGCAGAGGGAAUUUCCGGUGGAGCGGUGAAAUGCGUAGAUAUCGUUUGGAACGCCAAUGGUGAAAACAGGUCGCUGGGGAUGUGCUGACGCUGAGACACGAAAGCCAGGGGAGCAAACGGG